rnacentral:rRNA from 1 species
GAGUUUGAUCCUGGCUCAGGAUGAACGCUGGCGGCGUGCUUAACACAUGCAAGUCGAACGGGAAACCUUUUAUUGAAGCUUCGGCAGAUUUAGCUGGUUUCUAGUGGCGGACGGGUGAGUAACGCGUGGGUAACCUGCCUUAUACAGGGGGACAACAGUUGGAAACGACUGCUAAUACCGCAUAAGCCCACAGCUCGGCAUCGAGCAGAGGGAAAAGGAGCAAUCCGCUUUGAGAUGGCCUCGCGUCCGAUUAGCUAGUUGGUGAGGUAACGGCCCACCAAGGCGACGAUCGGUAGCCGGACUGAGAGGUUGAACGGCCACAUUGGGACUGAGACACGGCCCAGACUCCUACGGGAGGCAGCAGUGGGGAAUAUUGCACAAUGGGGGAAACCCUGAUGCAGCGACGCCGCGUGGAGGAAGAAGGUCUUCGGAUUGUAAACUCCUGUUGUUGAGGAAGAUAAUGACGGUACUCAACAAGGAAGUGACGGCUAACUACGUGCCAGCCGCCGCGGUAAUAC